rnacentral:rRNA from 1 species
UACGGAGGGAGCUAGCGUUGUUCGGAUAUACUGGGCGUAAAGCGCCCGUAGGCGGCGCCGUAAGUCAGGGGUGAAAUCCCGGAGCUCAACUCCGGAACUGCCUUUGAAACUGCGGUGCUAGAAUCCUGGAGAGGCGAGUGGAAUUCCGAGUGUAGAGGUGAAAUUCGUAGAUAUUCGGAAGAACACCAGUGGCGAAGGCGACUCGCUGGACAGGUAUUGACGCUGAGGUGCGAAAGCGUGGGGAGCAAACAGG